GGAUUUCCCAGUGUGAUUGGCUGCAUAGAUGCACACACAUCCCCAUCACAGCUCCCUCACAUCAUGAACAGGAAGUCCAUUCACAGCAUAAAUGUGCAGAUCAUAUGUGAUGCUGCAUACAUCAUUUCUAAUGUGGAGGCCACGUGGUCUGGGUCUGUUCAUGACUCCAGGAUUUAUGGAGAGUCUAACCUGAGCAACAGACUGCAGCAUGGAGAGUUUGAUGGCCUUCUGCUGGGUGACAGGGGUUACCAUGCCAACCCAGGCUGAUGACCUCAUACCCUGACCCUGAACCAGGCCCCCAGCAGAACUUCAACCGGACUCACUGCAGGACCAGAGCCCGGGUGGAGAUGACCACAGACCUGCUGAAAGCCCGUUUCCAGAGCCUACAUCUCCUCAGGGUGACCCCUGAGAGGGCCUGUGAUAUUACUGUGGUAUGUGUUGUUCUUCAUAAUAUUACCACUAUUAGAGGAGAGCAACACCCUGCCCUACAAACUGAAGACCCAGAUGAUGACUUCAUCCACCUGCAGCU